UACAGGGUCCAUUCUUGCUGGAUAGCUCCUUCCUGAACUGCCUGAUGUUCCUGGGCCCUGAGAUGCAUCAUAAGGCUGAACACUGCAAAAUUAAAAAAGCUUUCUGUGUCCAGCCAACUGAGAAAAUGAUACUCUGGAGCCCUUCAGUUCCUGUCUAGUCUGAAAACACUACAUACAGGGAAGAAGAAAUUAAUUCCACUCCAGAAAACCCCUGGUCUGACUGUUUUCUAUUUCCUGCCAAUAGUACCUGUCUAUUUAAAGAAAAGCAAACAACACCCUUACUAAGUAAAAGGUAUAUAUACAUUUGCAAUAACUUAGACAGCAAAAAUCUUGUAUUAAAAUGCAUUGGAUGUGUGCCUAUUAAUUCUUCUCUUAAACAGAGGAUAUAAUUCUGCUACUGUUAUAUAAUUUAUGUAUUAAUAAUGGCAAUGAAAAGAAGGAAGUAAGGGAAAGCAAAUUGGAAAAAACCUCUAAUAUAUGCAUGUAGCUUUGCCUGGCAGACUUACAAAGGGUUGUACUGACUUUGCAAUAGUUAUAUGCAUAAGCUCUUCAGGGACCUUGAUCCUGAAUUGCUCCACAUCGACAUAAAUAUUAUUACAGGCACGAACUGUCACAGUGGAGCUCUCUAAAAGAAAAGUCAAAUAGGGAUACACAAGUUCUUUCUCAACUUUCUCAAAAUUUACUUGCAAUUUCUAUGAGCAGCGAAAGUAGACUAGGUAUUCAUUAUCACAGGGAAGUAUAGAACAACUGAUCAUAAAAGAUCAAAUAAUCUAAGAGUAAAAUACACUUUGUAGUAUCUUUAUUCAUGUUUUCUUUUUCUAGAACUAAAGAGCAGCUGUUCCAAUUAAUGUGAUUUUUUUUCCUUUUGUUGUUACAGCUUUUGAAUUUUUCUGGAAACAGAGAGAUACAUAUUAUAUGAAGUGUAAUCAACAGCAAAGUUGAAUUCUGGUCAGAAAACAUUGCAAAUAUUUCAGUUUUGUGAGAAAAAGAAUGCUGAUUACAUGGCCAUAAAUGCCAUGAAUUCCAUUGCUAGUGAAUAAAACCAAUACCAUUAUGUGUCUUUUUAUAUGCUGUGUGACCUUGAGUCUGCAAAAGGAGACAUCACUCUUCUCCCAUCUUUCAAAUGUAAAAACUGGUCUCCUAUACCUUACAGGAAGUCUUCCAGGAAUAUAACUUCCAGAUUGAAGAAAAAAAAAAGGAAAAUAAAAAAUUUGUCCUACUAAAAGAAAACUGCCUCAGUAUAUAGACAGAAAACAGAGUUAUGGAGUUAUAGAUUUAUGGAUUCUGAAGCUAAAACGAUCAUUUGGUGUUAGCUUGGCUUUCUGUAUAAUACAGGGGUUUUCUUCUUGUUUAUGAUUACUUCUUCUUUACUGGGUGUAUCUUUUGUUGUGGUUGAAAAAAUGUUCUUUUUCUUCACUGGUUGCUUUAAUAUUUGUUCAUUUGUUCUCCUGAAAGCAUCUUAUUUUUCCUGUGAAUUUGCUUGUGCCCAGUUUAGCUUACUUGAAACCUGCAGUUAUGUGAAGCUAAAGAGGUUACUUUAUCCUUUUGUGGUAAUUGCCUAUAUUAACUCUGAAUUUCAAAGGCAGAGUUAAAACAAUUUUAGUGCCAUAUUUUUUCUUGCAUUAUGAGAAAAGUUAUUUUCUAGCAGAGACUUCUGAUGGCUGACAAAUUCUGUUAGAAAUAUUACACUUUGUUUCUUGUUUUUAUUAACACUUUCCUUUCAAGAUAUAUAAGUUACCUGUUGUUUUUUUAAAUUAAAUGUGCAGAAUUUUUAGUUGUAAUAUUAUCUUGCUACAUAUAAAAUCUCUAGUACACUGUAUCUACACAGUUGCCUUUAUUAACCUUUUUUUUCUGUCUCUUUAGAGACAGAAAAAGAAAUCUUUGCAAAAAAAAAAAUCUUAAUUUACAUUAAUCACACUCUUCAUCUUUAAUUCUUUAUCAAAUGAAUCCUCUACCAGCUCUCCUAUUUAUUUUGUCGGUGACAAACUUCACUUGACUGAUCAAUAGGAUCAUCCUGUCAUGCGAUGGUAAGCCAAGAAUUGUUCCAAUCUUGGCAUUUCCACUACUUAAAAAAAACAAAAACAAAACAAAAAACCCAAACAAAACAAAACAAAAAGCUGUGUGGAUUUAGUAAUUUUGCAAGUUUAUUCCUCUUUAAUGCAGUUUAGCCUAUUCCCUAAUUGUUAAUCACAGAAAGGCUUCAGAAGGUACUGCUUCUGGGAACAACUUAAAUUUCAUUAGUAUUUUCAAGGAAUAGUAUCUAGAAUUGUUUUUUCAUUUUUUAACCACCAGUUCAUUAACAAAUAAUAAAUUGACAAAUAAUGAAAACCUCUUACAACAACAUUGGAAUUGCCUGUUUGUUUCAUAUUCUUGGCAAUACAGGCAAUAUAAUCCCAGUUGUUUGGAGCAUGAAAAGGUUUGAUCUUUGCAAGCUCCCCCAUUAGGAGUCUGAAAGCCAUGAGUGUAAAGCAAUGACAUUUAUAAUUUUGUGUACCUGACUAUUGACUAUCCCCGUAUUUAUGAGUUCAUACAGGAACAGAUGUUAGUUGACAUUUUUUGUGUAAUCUUACAGACUACUGAAAUUGUCCUUGGAAAUUUGGGUGAAUAUGGAGAGGCAUGUUAUUAUCAAAAACUGAAACCACAUGGAAACAAGCCAGGAAGAUUUUUUACUCUCAGAGAAGUAUAGAAGAAUCUGAGGCAAUUUCUGAUCAAUCUGAACUCAUCACAAGAACUUUUAAGAAUUUUUUCUAUUGUACAAAGCCAAGGGUUUACCUCACUUGGCAUCUAAUUGCAGGUUGAGUUAAUCUAGACCAUGAAAUAAAAGGUAAAAAAAAAAAAAUCUGUUUUUCACACAAAUAUAUUGUUACUUUUUUCAUGUACACACUGAGAAAGACACUAAUUCUCCAUCUAGACUGUAAGCUCCUUUGGUAUGUUUCCCAGAGCCUCCUAUCAGCAUGGCAACUCAUAAAACCGACAUAUCUUCUGAAAGAAUUUGAGGUUUUUAAUAAAUCAUUAUUCUAAAUAUUGCAUUUUUAUAUGCCACUGGUUACGCCUGGCCUUUUGUAAUUACUGAAUGAUUCAUGCGCUGUUUGGAAGAGCACACAUAUGCACACAAAUAUUUAUAACUAUAAGUUUUGCUAAGCAAGGUUGUUGACCUCCUUUAAUCAAGAAAUUUAAAUGCUUUGUGCUGACUUUUGAGUUUUACUGAUUGUUUAAGGUACAAUCAAGGCUUGUGUGGGAUUUAAGAUGGGGGCUGUGAUCUCUCAGUUGCAAAACUGAGAUCCAUGUCCUUUGGUGGUAGCCUCUGAGUGUAUAUUAGCUCUAAUAAUGAAAUUCCAGGAGUCUGUGGUGUUGAACCUUGAUGCUGGAGGAAGAAGCAUACAUUUUCUGAGCUCAGGACCUAAAGUGUUGUAUUUUUUUCCUGACCAUAUUUUAAAAGUUGAGGUCUCAAACUGUACCAUCAGUGUCUUGUAGUGGGUUUCUGGGUGGCUGUUCAUGCAAGUAUUGUAAUUUAAGUCUACAGCAUCACUAGGCACCCUGAUACUUCAAAGUUUACCACAUUUUGGAGCAACAUGGCCUGCAUGUCUGCUUGAUGACCCUAUUGAGUUUUUAGGAAAUUCUUUCAACACCCACUUCAUUACCCAAACAUGGGUAAUGAACUUUCAUACAUAUUCUCAGCAUCUUACAGUUCCUGAUGGCUGCAGAGCUAUUCAUUCACACAUAAUUUGUAACUGCAUGAAGUUGUGAGACUGUGACAGGCCUGUAUAAAGAAAUACAGGCUUUCAGCACAGAUCACUUGACUUGAGAGAACAAAAUUUGCAGGAAGCAGCACACACAACACAUAUCUCAAAAUUUAGUGACCGAGUUCUAGAUUCACUGGACAAAAUCCAUCUUUACAUCAAGACAAUUAAUUCCUAGACGAGCAGAUUUACAAGACAGGUUAGUUUGCAAAGAAAAAUUCAGGAUUCCUGGAUUUUUGAAGCUGUUGAGGGAAGAAAAUACUUCAUCUUGUUGCCUGCAUGUUCACUUGCUACUUGUAUGUUUAUCUGUGCUCCAAAGGACUUUGUAUUCCUAGCUAUUGCUAGUUUUUUAAAAUUGUAUUUAAAAAACUAUUCACAUGCUGUGCGUGAGGUCUCUUGACCUGAAUAUUCAGACUCCUGUCUCCUUUUUGGGAUACAAUAUAGUGCAAACUAACAUACAAGCACAGCCUUCUGGCAUGAUGAUACUAAUUUCUGUGUGUCUUACUAAAAAUUAAAACCAGAAGAAAAAUUAAAAAAAAAUUCUAAUAAAUAUCAAUAGAUAAGCUCUUAAGGAGCUUGUGGGUAAAGCAAAGAAACAUUUCUGCAUAUCUCUGCCUUCUUACAAAAUAGAACUGACAGACUGAAAGGCAGUAUUUUGGAGAUGUGACUGACCCUUCUACUCUGCUUGCAAUGCUAAAGAUUCCAUUCUGUGCAGCUCUGGGUUUGAGCAAGUCAUAGUUGUAUUUCUUAAGGGAAACAGACUUUUCCUAAUUACACAUUGUAGUAUUUAUACUUUCCUUUAUCUGGAAGGAAAGCUGUUCAAGAUAAACCCCAUUUUUAUUUCUUCUUUAAAGGAGAAAAGCAGUUUUUAAGUCCUGAUUUUCUGAAUCUGGUGCCUUACUCUGUUUUUCCUUUGGUUAUCUCAUAGACAAUCAAUUCUCCAAGACCAGAGAUUUUUUGGAGCCAAACAUAGAGCAACUUCAACCAGAAUUUUUACUUGAAUGUUUAAACUCUUAUUAAACUUGACAAAUUUGCCGGAACAAGGCCACAGCCAAAA